GACGAACGCUGGCGGCGUGCCUAAUACAUGCCAGUUGAGCGCUGAAGGUUGGUACUUGUACCAACUGGAUGAGCAGCGAACGGGUGAGUAACGCGUGGGGAAUCUGCCUUUGAGCGGGGGACAACAUUUGGAAACGAAUGCUAAUACCGCAUAAAAACUUUAAACACAAGUUUUAAGUUUGAAAGAUGCAAUUGCAUCACUCAAAGAUGAUCCCGCGUUGUAUUAGCUAGUUGGUGAGGUAAAGGCUCACCAAGGCGAGGAUACAUAGCCGACCUGAGAGGGUAACGGGCCAACUUGGACCUGAGCACGGGCCCAACCCCUACGGGGGGGAGGCGGUGGGGAAUUUUCGGCAAGGGAGGAAAGUUGGCCGGGGCACCGCGGGGUAAGGGAGGAGGGUUUCGGAUCGUAAAACUCUGUUGGUAGAGAAGAACGUUGGUGAGAGUGGAAAGCUCAUCAAGUGACGGUAACUACCCAGAAAGGGACGGCUAACUACGUG
rnacentral:rRNA from 1 species